rnacentral:tRNA from 1 species
GCCUGGGUGGCUCAGUCGGUUGAGCGUCCGACUUUGGCUCAGGUCAUGAUCUCACAGUUCGUGGGUUCGAGCCCCGUGUCAGGCU